UACGAAGGGCCCGAGCGUUGCGCGGAAUCACUGGGCUUAAAGCGUGCGCAGGCGGAUCCGUAAGUACCUUGUGAAAUCCCACGGCUCAACCGUGGAACUGCUCGGUAUACUGCGGAUCUUGAGGUCGGUAGAGGUCGUCGGAACAGUAGGUGGAGCGGUGAAAUGCGUAGAUAUCUACUGGAACGCCCAAGGCGAAGGCAGACGACUGGGCCGAACCUGACGCUCAGGCACGAAAGCGUGGGGAGCGAACGGG
rnacentral:misc_RNA from 1 species